rnacentral:rRNA from 1 species
CCUACGGGAGGCUGCAGUGGGGAAUAUUGGACAAUGGGGGGAACCCUGAUCCAGCCAUGCCGCGUGUGUGAAGAAGGCCCUCGGGUUGUAAAGCACUUUCAGUGAGGAAGAACGCCUGGUGGUUAAUACCCAUCAGGAAAGACAUCACUCACAGAAGAAGCACCGGCUAACUCCGUGCCAGCAGCCGCGGUAAUACGGAGGGUGCGAGCGUUAAUCGGAAUUACUGGGCGUAAAGCGCGUGUAGGUGGCUUGAUAAGCCGGUUGUGAAAGCCCCGGGCUCAACCUGGGAACGGCAUCCGGAACUGUCAAGCUAGAGUGCAGGAGAGGAAGGUAGAAUUCCCGGUGUAGCGGUGAAAUGCGUAGAGAUCGGGAGGAAUACCAGUGGCGAAGGCGGCCUUCUGGACUGACACUGACACUGAGGUGCGAAAGCGUGGGUAGCAAACAGGAUUAGAUACCCGGGUAGUC